UACGUAGGGGGCUAGCGUUGCUCGGAAUCACUGGGCGUAAAGGGUGCGUAGGCGGGUCUUUAAGUCAGGGGUGAAAGCCCGGAGCUUAACUCCGGAAUUGCCUUUGAAACUAGGUGACUUGAAUCCAGGAGAGGUGAGUGGAAUUCCGAGUGUAGAGGUGAAAUUCGUAGAUAUUCGGAAGAACACCAGUGGCGAAGGCGGCUCACUGGACUGGUAUUGACGCUGAGGUGCGAAAGCGUGGGGAGCAAACAGG
rnacentral:rRNA from 1 species